rnacentral:rRNA from 1 species
AACCGAGUCUUAAUUGGGCGUUAAGUUGCAGGGUAUAGACCCGAAACCCGGUGAUCUAGCCAUGGGCAGGUUGAAGGUUGGGUAACACUAACUGGAGGACCGAACCGACUAAUGUUGAAAAAUUAGCGGAUGACCUGUGGCUGGGGGUGAAAGGCCAAUCAAACCGGGAGAUAGCUGGUUCUCCCCGAAAGCUAUUUAGGUAGCGCCUCGUGAAUUCAUCUCCGGGGGUAGAGCACUGUUUCGGCUAGGGGGCCAUCCCGGCUUACCAACCCGAUGCAAACUGCGAAUACCGGAGAAUGUUAUCACGGGAGACACACGGCGGGUGCUAACGUCCGUCGUGAAGAGGGAAACAACCCAGACCGCCAGCUAAGGUCCCAAAGUCAUGGUUAAGUGGGAAACGAUGUGGGAAGGCCCAGACAGCCAGGAUGUUGGCUUAGAAGCAGCCAUCAUUUAAAGAAAGCGUAAUAGCUCACUGGUCGAGUCGGCCUGCGCGGAAGAUGUAACGGGGCUAAACCAUGCACCGAAGCUGCGGCAGCGAACGUAUCACUUAAAGCGAUUCAGCGGGUUACGAUUGACGGAGCGAAGCGACGUCAAAGCGUAUACAAAGUCGAGUCGGUUUAAGGAUACGUUCGUUGGGUAGGGGAGCGUUCUGUAAGCCUGUGAAGGUGGCCUGUGAGGGUUGCUGGAGGUAUCAGAAGUGCGAAUGCUGACAUAAGUAACGAUAAAGCGGGUGAAAAGCCCGCUCGCCGGAAGACCAAGGGUUCCUGUCCAACGUUAAUCGGGGCAGGGUGAGUCGACCCCUAAGGCGAGGCCGAAAGGCGUAGUCGAUGGGAAACGGGUUAAUAUUCCCGUACUUGGUGUUACUGCGAAGGGGGGACGGAGAAGGCUAUGUUGGCCGGGCGACGGUUGUCCCGGUUUAAGCGUGUAGGUGUGUGUUCCAGGUAAAUCCGGUUCACUUUA